UUUAAAACGAGUUCGAAUUGCAAAACCACGUUCUAUUGAAAUUAGAAAACAAGUCCUAACCCAUUGUGGAUUCAUCAACCUAAAUCCUACUCCUAGCCCAAUUGGGCAAAGCCCAAACAAAAAAAUAAAACCCUUCUCUUCUCUAUUCUUCACGUGAAAACCAAAAGAAAGAGAGAAAACCCUCCUUCAACCUCACGCAACUCAGCUUUUUUGCUCUCCCGCUGCUCGCCGCUCAGCCGACCACCAUCAACACGGUAAAUCCUUCUUCUCCUUCAAGCUUCUCCUCCUUCCUCCUUCUUCUUUAUAAUUCCUUAUUUUCGUUCUUGCUCUCAUGGCUUGACUCCCUUCGUUUUCGCGCAGCAACCAGUGACUCAAGGCCCGACCACCGCACGCAACCGUGCUCAGCCUUGCCGCGAGCCACCGCUGUCCGCCGGCCAGCACUCCCCUUAAACUCUUGAAUUGGCGGAGAAUUCUCUUUAGGCGACUUUUGAAAGUGUUAAAGUGGCCUAUCAAUUUGUUUAUACAAGUCUCUAAGGAUCAAUAAGCGUUGCCCAUCUACAGGUUUGAAGAUGAUGCAUCAUUGGGAUCGGGAUUAGAGAGCUUGUAGUUCUAUUUGUUUAAUUAAGUGAUUUAAUUUGUUAACUUGGAUUUGAAAUUUGUCGUACUAUUCGUAUUUCCUUAUUUCAGUUAAUUGGUUUGGACCUAAUAUGUAAUAGAUUAUUUAUGAACCUAAAAGUUAGUUUUAUGUUUUCCGCUGCAAAAUUCUGAAUAAGCCGUAACGUUUUCACACGGGCGAUAAUACUUUGAUAAUUCCCUACAGUUAUAUUUA